rnacentral:rRNA from 1 species
UACGAAGGGUGCAAACGUUGCUCGGAAUUAUUGGGCGUAAAGCGCACGUAGGCGGCUUAGCAAGUCGGAUGUGAAAGCCCUCGGCUCAACCAAGGAAGUGCAUCCGAAACUGCUGAGCUUGAGUACUGAAGAGGGUCGCGGAAUUCCCGGUGUAGAGGUGAAAUUCGUAGAUAUCGGGAGGAACACCAGUGGCGAAGGCGGCGACCUGGGCAGAUACUGACACUGAGGUGCGAAAGCGUGGGGAGCAAACAGG